rnacentral:ncRNA from 1 species
AAGGGUGCCGCGCAUGUGGUGCGGUUAAGAGGAAACCGUGUGAGAAUCACGGGCUGUCGCGCAACUGUAUGUCCGCAAAGUUCCUGUGCAUAAAGUCAUUGGGUUUAACGACCUGAGAAGGCGCACAGGGGAACAAGCCAGGAAGCCUGCCUUUC